GAUGAGUAGGGCGGGACACGUGGUAUCCUGUCUGAAUAUGGGGGGACCAUCCUCCAAGGCUAAAUACUCCUGACUGACCGAUAGUGAACCAGUACCGUGAGGGAAAGGCGAAAAGAACCCCGGCGAGGGGAGUGAAAAAGAACCUGAAACCGUGUACGUACAAGCAGUGGGAGCACGCUUAGGCGUGUGACUGCGUACCUUUUGUAUAAUGGGUCAGCGACUUAUAUUCUGUAGCAAGGUUAACCGAAUAGGGGAGCCGAAGGGAAACCGAGUCUUAACUGGGCGUUAAGUUGCAGGGUAUAGACCCGAAACCCGGUGAUCUAGCCAUGGGCAGGUUGAAGGUUGGGUAACACUAACUGGAGGACCGAACCGACUAAUGUUGAAAAAUUAGCGGAUGACUUGUGGCUGGGGGUGAAAGGCCAAUCAAACCGGGAGAUAGCUGGUUCUCCCCGAAAGCUAUUUAGGUAGCGCCUCGUGAAUUCAUCUCCGGGGGUAGAGCACUGUUUCGGCAAGGGGGUCAUCCCGACUUACCAACCCGAUGCAAACUGCGAAUACCGGAGAAUGUUAUCACGGGAGACACACGGCGGGUGCUAACGUCCGUCGUGAAGAGGGAAACAACCCAGACCGCCAGCUAAGGUCCCAAAGUCAUGGUUAAGUGGGAAACGAUGUGGGAAGGCCCAGACAGCCAGGAUGUUGGCUUAGAAGCAGCCAUCAUUUAAAGAAAGCGUAAUAGCUCACUGGUCGAGUCGGCCUGCGCGGAAGAUGUAACGGGGCUAAACCAUGCACCGAAGCUGCGGCAGCGACGCUUAUGCGUUGUUGGGUAGGGGAGCGUUCUGUAAGCCUGUGAAGGUGUGCUGUGAGGCAUGCUGGAGGUAUCAGAAGUGCGAAUGCUGACAUAAGUAACGAUAAAGCGGGUGAAAAGCCCGCUCGCCGGAAGACCAAGGGUUCCUGUCCAACGUUAAUCGGGGCAGGGUGAGUCGACCCCUAAGGCGAGGCCGAAAGGCGUAGUCGAUGGGAAACAGGUUAAUAUUCCUGUACUUGGUGUUACUGCGAAGGGGGGACGGAGAAGGCUAUGUUGGCCGGGCGACGGUUGUCCCGGUUUAAGCGUGUAGGCUGGUUUUCCAGGCAAAUCCGGAAAAUCAAGGCUGAGGCGUGAUGACGAGGCACUACGGUGCUGAAGCAACAAAUGCCCUGCUUCCAGGAAAAGCCUCUAAGCAUCAGGUAACAUCAAAUCGUACCCCAAACCGACACAGGUGGUCAGGUAGAGAAUACCAAGGCGCUUGAGAGAACUCGGGUGAAGGAACUAGGCAAAAUGGUGCCGUAACUUCGGGAGAAGGCACGCUGAUAUGUAGGUGAAGUCCCUCGCGGAUGGAGCUGAAAUCAGUCGAAGAUACCAGCUGGCUGCAACUGUUUAUUAAAAACACAGCACUGUGCAAACACGAAAGUGGACGUAUACGGUGUGACGCCUGCCCGGUGCCGGAAGGUUAAUUGAUGGGGUUAGCGCAAGCGAAGCUCUUGAUCGAAGCCCCGGUAAACGGCGGCCGUAACUAUAACGGUCCUAAGGUAGCGAAAUUCCUUGUCGGGUAAGUUCCGACCUGCACGAAUGGCGUAAUGAUGGCCAGGCUGUCUCCACCCGAGACUCAGUGAAAUUGAACUCGCUGUGAAGAUGCAGUGUACCCGCGGCAAGACGGAAAGACCCCGUGAACCUUUACUAUAGCUUGACACUGAACAUUGAGCCUUGAUGUGUAGGAUAGGUGGGAGGCUUUGAAGUGUGGACGCCAGUCUGCAUGGAGCCGACCUUGAAAUACCACCCUUUAAUGUUUGAUGUUCUAACGUUGACCCGUAAUCCGGGUUGCGGACAGUGUCUGGUGGGUAGUUUGACUGGGGCGGUCUCCUCCUAAAGAGUAACGGAGGAGCACGAAGGUUGGCUAAUCCUGGUCGGACAUCAGGAGGUUAGUGCAAUGGCAUAAGCCAGCUUGACUGCGAGCGUGACGGCGCGAGCAGGUGCGAAAGCAGGUCAUAGUGAUCCGGUGGUUCUGAAUGGAAGGGCCAUCGCUCAACGGAUAAAAGGUACUCCGGGGAUAACAGGCUGAUACCGCCCAAGAGUUCAUAUCGACGGCGGUGUUUGGCACCUCGAUGUCGGCUCAUCACAUCCUGGGGCUGAAGUAGGUCCCAAGGGUAUGGCUGUUCGCCAUUUAAAGUGGUACGCGAGCUGGGUUUAGAACGUCGUGAGACAGUUCGGUCCCUAUCUGCCGUGGGCGCUGGAGAACUGAGGGGGGCUGCUCCUAGUACGA
rnacentral:rRNA from 1 species